GGCUGCACCUGUGACAUGUAGAGGUUCCCAGGGUAGGGGUCUAACAGGAGCUGUUGCUGCCAGCCACAGCAACACCAGAUUCGAGCCGCAUCUGUGACCUACACCAUAGCUUACAGCAACACUGGAUCCUUAACCCACUGAGCGAGGCGAUGGAUCUAACCUGCAACCUCAUGGUUCCUAGUCAGAUUCGUUUCCAUGGUGCCACAAUGGGAGCUCCAAAUUUUUAAUUUUUAAAGAAAAAUGUGCACAGUAAAUACACCAGUAUAAAGGUCAAUUUAUCUCCUAUGUAAAUAUGAGAAAUGAUCAUUCUUUAAAUAAGGGAAAAACAUUAUUGCCAUUUUGCAAUGUCCCCAUAUACCAAAAAUAUUUUAAAAAAUAAUAAUAUAUGGCUACAAACUUGUAGUUUCUUUUCUGAGUAUUCAGAAAUAUAUAUCUUCAGUGACUAAGUUAUGAGAGUUUAAAAUUUAAAAGAAGAUUAAGAGACAAAUUAAGAGAAAACUUAAAUUUCUACAGUAGCCAGCAUCUAAAUACAACUACUUCAAGUUACCAUGAAUAACACUACUUGAAUAUUAGAAUCACCUAGAAAGAAUUUAUCAACUCACAGUGACUGAGGCCACACCUUCAGAGGCAUAUUUAAUUGGUUUGCAUGGCAGUGAAACAUGAGUAUUUUCUAAAAGAUCUCCCAGAUGAUUCUAAUGCACUAUUACUAAGGUUCUUCAAUUUUGAUCACUAACUAGAAGCAUCAGUAUCCACUUGUGAACCUUUUAGACUUUCUUAGGCUAAGACCCGCCACUUUAGUGUCUGAACCUAACAGUGUGUGUUUUAACAAGGUCUCCAUGCGAUUUUGGUGCUCCCUGAAGUUAGAGAAAUAUUAAGCUGUGCUAUAAGGUAUCUCUUCUAGCUCUUUUUUCCUAAUUCACUCCUCAGUAGGGGAAGAAUGUCUUUAAAGAUGGGAAGAUCUGAAAGAUUGAAACUUAGAUCCUCAAGCACAGCUAAUUGGAACUUAUCUUUCUGGUGACUGGCCCAUUCACAGGAGGUUGAAUUCCGGUCUUCUUUCUGGCCAUGCCAUAAAUGUUAUGGCAAGCUCUCUUGCUUUAAGUUCAAUUUUCCAGCUGCAGCAAUGUCUGUGGGCAUAAAUCUAACUUUGGGGUGAAAUAUUAGCAAGGCAGCUUUGUCCAGAUCUAAAAAUUUCUAUUAUCUUUAUCAGAUUUAUCAGUAUUUUCAUCUCUAUAUACCUAUCUCAGUCUUAAUUAUAGAUUCCAAUAUAAGGGGAAUGACAAGAGAUGAAUAAUAUCUCUUGUUUCUUAGAAGCCAUUUCAAACAGGGCAUUCUUUACUGAAUUAUCAGAAAUGGUACACAGAGAGAAUGGGUUGAAAUCAUUGAUGAGAAUUACAUGUCACAAGCUGGAGAAAGUUUCUUAUCGAGCUAUCGUUCUUUAGAAAAGCUAUAUGGUAGGAGUACAAGAGAGAAAGUCAUGGUUGAAAGUAAAAAGUAGGUACUGGAAAAUAUAAAGAACUGGUUUUGAGACUAAUUCCACAGGAGCAUCCCCUGAAAUAUCCUUUAGUAAGCAAAAUACAGACUCUGAAGGCAAUGGACUUGUUUAAGUGGUUUCUGUCAGUCUGUUUUUGUGUAGUGAGUAGAAAGGACUGGUUAAGAUCUUCUUGAAAAUCCUGGUCUGACAUUCCCUAUGUAAUCAUUUUUGAACCAGGCAAGCAAAGCUUGUACUUUUUUCCCCCAUGCAUUUAUACUAUGUCUAAAUAAGUAUCUUACGGAUAUUUUAAUAUGCAUUUUCUUGAUGACUAAUGUGGUUGUUAGUCAUUUUGUCAUUUUAAAUUUUUUAUGAGGGAGAGCAUUUUGCCCAAUUUUCUAUUGUCUCACCCACUACUUUGUAAUACUUUUUAGUUUCAUAAAAGCAUAUGAAUAUUUUUCUUUUAAUGAAAGAACAGAAAAAUCAAUAUUUUCAAUACCAGUACACACACUUGUUACAUUUUGUUUUUCACACUCUUUAUGGAUAUAAAUAUACUCACAGAAAUACAUAGUUUUGACUUUGAUUUUACACAUAUUAUUCUUUUCAUGCUCAUCUGGAACUUGCUUUUUUCCACUCAACACUAUGUCUUGAUGUUUCCACAUCAACAUGUAUAGAUAUAUAACUUAACUGGUACAUAAUAUUCUAGCAUAUAGAUGGAUAUUUUAGGGACAGGUAGGGUUUACAACAUUUGCUACUAAAAGCAAACAUGACUGUCUCCUUGCCCACCCUAUCCUAACAUGCCAGCAUGUAAGGGAGCAUGUCUGUCCUGUUAAAUAGGAUAUCUCCGGGGUCUGGAAUGGUCCUUGGUAUAUAGUUGAACCUAGGUGAAUAUUUGCUGAAUAAAUCCUAAGUGGAAAUACAUACUAAGUUGGUCUUGGAGUAAUGUGAGGAAGUUAAACUGUAGUUCUAAUUAUUCAGGAUCCUAUUGAACCUUGAUAUGUAGACAGCAGACACUGGGAUCUGUAUAUUUCACAGCUUCCCAAGAUAAUUUUUUCCAGAUAUAAGUGGAACAACUAUUCUUUCUAGCAGUGGUUCUUAAUCUGUCAUCACAGAACCAGCAGCAAGAACAUCACCAGGGAACUUCUUAAGAAUGAUAACUUUCUCAUUCCAACCUAGAUCUACUGAAUCAGACACUUUGGGACUGGGGACCACAAUCUCUGGUUUAACAAACCCACCAGGUGAUGCAAAUUUCUGAGAACCACCACUUUAAUGAAUAGCUGGUCACUGAAUAAAAACAGCUGUUUCUAACUAGCUACUAGUGGUAUUAAAAAUUAGCAAUUAUUUUCUCCACUAAGUUAAACAUUAAAACAUGAUAUAAAUUAUUGACCAUAAUCUACUAUUAUGCCAGUUGAGAAGAAAAGAGAAGGUAGAAUAGAUCACCUAAAAUGAAAAAUGAAGCCUAUAAAAACCACAUUAUUUUAAAAUAACAUCUUAAGUGCUAAAAAUUAAUACUGCUGACUCAAAUACAUAUAUCACAACUUCUUCCUUUUAAAUUUUUAUUGUUUUUUAAAAUGUACGUGUUUAAGGUAUGAGGUAGUAUAUAACAAAAAUUGUAUAAAAUACACGGAAAUAAUUUUUUUAAGAGAUUAGAUUUCCAGCACAUAGCGCAGAACUAUAUUUUUAUGAUUUAAUGAUGGUUUGUUUCUGUUUUUGUUUUUGGUCUCCCAGUUCUUUUUCACCUGUAUGUUUAUGAAGAUGGUGGAAGAUAUUAAGAGGCUUAAGGUUUUUGGUUUUCGUAUUUGUUUGUUUGUUUUCCUUCUAGUCGUAGACUACUUAAGCACGUUGCAAUGCAAUUUCACUGUCUAGGAGAUGGCUAUAGUUCAUUUCUCUUUGUAAACUAAAUCAAAUGCUAAGAGUGUUAUAGAGAGCCACAGCUCAGGACUUGAACAGUAGGAUGAGAGGAUUGCUAAGGAUGAUGAAAUAUAAGGUCCAAAAACCUAAUUGACUCAGUUUGUUCUAUAAUAAUAAUUAAAGCUUUCUUAAUUGGGACCUGUGAAAUAUGACAGUGUUUAACUCCCUUUUGCCUUUACAGAUUUAAUAAAAGGUCAAACUCUUUCAAAAUGAGAAUAACUAUUUUACCGGUUUACUGAAAGUCACUGUUUUACUUGAGGCAUUGCCAAGUUAAAUAUCUUAAAGAUUUUAUUCAAUUACCUAGCGUGAAGAAAAGCACAUUCAACAUUUGCAAAUAAUCACUUAUGGUAUGUUUUUAUUUUAAAGCAUCUCAGGUCUUUUUAAUUAAGUAAGAACUUAUGACAGACAUGGAAAAAUUUUUUUCAUAGGAAUGUUAGGAAAUUUAUCUAUGUUCUUUCCACAAGACAUUUUAUUUCAGAAUAUAAAUCUACAUGUAUUUUACAUAAAUUUUAUUUCAACAAAUACUAUUUAGCCAUACAUAUGAUUAAAAUAUUAUUUGGGUACAAAUUUAAAUAAGCCUUGGUUUCUGCUCUCAAAAGUGCUUUAUUCUAGUGGACUACUUUUACAGUAGUCAAAUAUAAUCACUAAAGUGUUUAAAAGCUUUGUUCAAGUAAAUGAGAGAUUUAGAGAUUUACAUACCAAAAACUCUUUGAUGCCUCUAGCAAUAUAAAAAACUAAACUAUGUUGGACUUUUCUCCUCUCCACUCCUAUAUCACACUAGAAUCCACACAUAAUUAUUUUUUAAAAAAAAUGUGUAUAUAUAUAUAUAUAUACACACAUAGGUAGUCUGGACAGUAAACAAGUAAGUAAUAAGAAAUUAAAGACAUAAGUACAAAUUGAUAUCAGGGCAGUCCAUGGUUACCUAGUCUCAGAUACAUGUCCUAACUGCUGAGGCUGGAUCUCUGACAAGCACACUAGAAUAGAAGGCACAGCCAUUGGGUGGGUGAUAAGGAGCAAAGCUUGGAAACGUCUACCCAGCACAAAGUUCAAAAAAAAUGAAUGCUUCAUAAAUCUAUGGGAAAGGAGAAAAAAAAGCCAUUUUUGAAAAUUUUAAAUCCCAUGGCUUGGCCACUUUAAGUUGUGGUUUAUAAACUCUAAAUAUCUGAAAAGUGAGAAAAAAAAUGAAACCAAGAAAUAAAUAUAAAAUUUGAACAGUUUCAUAAACACCCAUAAUGCCCACAAAGAAAUGUCAGAAGCCCUUCGGCAGAAAGAUAAGUUUCAUAACUGAAGCACACAGAACUCCCGCAGA
rnacentral:lncRNA from 1 species